GAACGAGGAUAUAUCCUUCGGGAUAUAAGCCGAGUGGCGCAAGGGUGAGUAAUGCAUAGAUUACCUGCCUCUAGGAUAAGGACAACUUUGUGAAAACGAAGCUAAUACUUAAUAAUACAAAAGAAAAUAAUUUUCUUUUGUCAAUGGGAGGGUAGCAAUACCUUUUGCCUAGAGAGGGGUUUAUGUCCUAUCAGCUUGUUGGUGGGGUAAUGGCCUACCAAGGCGAAGACGGGUAGCCGGUCUUAGAGGAUGGUCGGCCACACUGGGACUGAGACACUGCCCAGACUUCUACGGAAGGCUGCAGUCGAGAAUCUUUCGCAAUGCCCGAAAGGGUGACGAAGCGACGCCGCGUGAGUGAGGAAGGCCUUAGGGUUGUAAAGCUCUGUCAGGAGUUAAGAAAUAUAAGUGUGUUAAUACCACGUUUAUUUGACGAAGGCUCCAAAGGAAGCCACGGCUAACUCUGUGCCAGCAGCCGCGGUAAUACAGAGGUGGCAAGCGUUGUUCGGAAUUAUUGGGCGUAAAGAGCACGUAGGUGGGUUUGUAAGCCAGAUGUGAAAGCCUUCUGUUCAACGGAAGAAUUGCAUCUGAAACUGCAAGUCUUGAGUGUAGGAGGGGAGAAUGGAACUUCUGGUGGAGCGGUGAAAUGCGUAGAUAUCAGAAGGAACGCCGGCGGCGAAAGCGAUUCUCUGGCCUAUUACUGACACUCAGUGUGCGAAAGCUAGGGGAGCAAACGGGAUUAGAUACCCCGGUAGUCCUAGCCGUAAACGAUGGGCACUAAGUAGAGGGAAUUACCGAUGUUCUCUCUGCCGUAGCUAACGCAUUAAGUGCCCCGCCUGGGGAGUACGGCCGCAAGGCUAAAACUCAAAAGAAUUGACGGGGGCUCGCACAAGCGGUGGAGCAUGUGGCUUAAUUCGAUGCAACGCGAAAAACCUUACCGGGGCUUGACAUGGUAGAAGUAGGAACCCGAAAGGGUAACGAACGGUAUCCAGUCCAUAGCUAUCACAGGUGUUGCAUGGCUGUCGUCAGCUCGUGUCGUGAGACGUUGGGUUAAGUCCCCUAACGAGCGAAACCCUUGUUUUUAGUUACCAGCGGGUUAUGCCGGGUACUCUAGAAAGACUGCCGUCGUCAAGACGGAGGAAGGUGGGGAUGACGUCAAGUCAUCAUGGCCCUUAUGCCCCGGGCUGCACACGUGCUACAAUGGUCGGUACAAACGGAAGCGAAGCCGAGAGGUGAAGCGAAUCCUAAAAAGCCGAUCUCAGUUCGGAUUGGAGGCUGAAAUUCGCCUCCAUGAAGUUGGAAUCGCUAGUAAUCGCGGAUCAGCAAUGCCGCGGUGAAUAUGUUCCCGAGCCUUGUACACACCGCCCGUCAAGCCACCCAAGCAGGAUGCACCCGAAAACAUUAUAUCUAACCAGGGCAACUUGGAGGAAAGUGUUGAAGGAGUGUUUUGUGA
rnacentral:rRNA from 1 species